rnacentral:rRNA from 1 species
CAUUUAAAGAAAGCGUAAUAGCUCACUGGUCGAGUCGGCCUGCGCGGAAGAUGUAACGGGGCUAAACCAUGCACCGAAGCUGCGGCAGCGACACUAUGUGUUGUUGGGUAGGGGAGCGUUCUGUAAGCCGUUGAAGGUGUGCUGUGAGGCAUGCUGGAGGUAUCAGAAGUGCGAAUGCUGACAUAAGUAACGAUAAAGCGGGUGAAAAGCCCGCUCGCCGGAAGACCAAGGGUUCCUGUCCAACGUUAAUCGGGGCAGGGUGAGUCGACCCCUAAGGCGAGGCCGAAAGGCGUAGUCGAUGGGAAACAGGUUAAUAUUCCUGUACUUGGUGUUACUGCGAAGGGGGGACGGAGAAGGCUAUGUCAGCCGGGCGACGGUUGUCCCGGUUUAAGCAUGUAGGCGGAGGUUCCAGGUAAAUCCGGUACCUUAUUAACGCUGAGGUGUGAUGACGAGGCACUACGGUGCUGAAGUGAUAAAUGCCCUGCUUCCAGGAAAAGCCUCUAAGCAUCAGGUAACACGAAAUCGUACCCCAAACCGACACAGGUGGUCAGGUAGAGAAUACCAAGGCGCUUGAGAGAACUCGGGUGAAGGAACUAGGCAAAAUGGUGCCGUAACUUCGGGAGAAGGCACGCUGAUGUGUAGGUGAAGCCCCUGCGGGUGGAGCUGAAAUCAGUCGAAGAUACCAGCUGGCUGCAACUGUUUAUUAAAAACACAGCACUGUGCAAACACGAAAGUGGACGUAUACGGUGUGACGCCUGCCCGGUGCCGGAAGGUUAAUUGAUGGGGUUAGCGGCAACGCGAAGCUCUUGAUCGAAGCCCCGGUAAACGGCGGCCGUAACUAUAACGGUCCUAAGGUAGCGAAAUUCCUUGUCGGGUAAGUUCCGACCUGCACGAAUGGCGUAAUGAUGGCCAGGCUGUCUCCACCCGAGACUCAGUGAAAUUGAACUCGCUGUGAAGAUGCAGUGUACCCGCGGCAAGACGGAAAGACCCCGUGAACCUUUACUAUAGCUUGACACUGAACACUGGUCCUUGAUGUGUAGGAUAGGUGGGAGGCUUUGAAGCGUGGACGCCAGUCUGCGUGGAGCCAACCUUGAAAUACCACCCUUUAAUGGCUGGUGUUCUAACGUAGACCCGUAAUCCGGGUUGCGGACAGUGUCUGGUGGGUAGUUUGACUGGGGCGGUCUCCUCCCAAAGAGUAACGGAGGAGCACGAAGGUUAGCUAAUCCUGGUCGGACAUCAGGAGGUUAGUGCAAUGGCAUAAGCCAGCUUGACUGCGAGCGUGACGGCGCGAGCAGGUGCGAAAGCAGGUCAUAGUGAUCCGGUGGUUCUGAAUGGAAGGGCCAUCGCUCAACGGAUAAAAGGUACUCCGGGGAUAACAGGCUGAUACCGCCCAAGAGUUCAUAUCGACGGCGGUGUUUGGCACCUCGAUGUCGGCUCAUCACAUCCUGGGGCUGAAGUAGGUCCCAAGGGUAUGGCUGUUCGCCAUUUAAAGUGGUACGCGAGCUGGGUUUAGAAC